CCUACGGGGGGCAGCAGUGGGGAAUAUUGCACAAUGGGGGAAACCCUGAUGCAGCGACGCCGCGUGAGUGAAGAAGUAAUUCGUUAUGUAAAGCUCUAUCAGCAGGGAAGAAAAUGACGGUACCUGAGUAAGAAGCCCCGGCUAACUACGUGCCAGCAGCCGCGGUAAUACGUAGGGGGCAAGCGUUAUCCGGAUUUACUGGGUGUAAAGGGAGCGUAGACGGUAUGGCAAGUCUGAAGUGAAAGCCCAGGGCUCAACCCUGGGACUGCUUUGGAAACUGUUAGACUAGAGUGCUGGAGAGGUAA
rnacentral:rRNA from 1 species